GCACAAUAAUGUCGAGGGAAAAAGGCAGCAACUGCUUCGUAAAUAGAAAGUGUAGAAUCAAAAUAACGAAGUGUCAGAUUGAUGUUGCAAUGAAAAUUUGCGUUAACAAUAUGAAGACCCAUUAAUCUGGUGAAGAGUAAUCCGGAUGGCGCAGCGUUCGACUGAGUUCUCACUCCCUUGUCCCAGUGAUGGCGUAAAAAGUAGCGUGUUUGCCAGUUAACCUAAACGACACGUGGUGGUCUGGAUUCAGAUCUCAGAGCAGACACGCUUCGUUUUGUGCUAGGAGGUGAAGCUCCCGGAUAUAAUUCCUAACGGGGUACCAGAUAUAAAACUCGAAGCAUUCAAGUUCUUCGUAAAGGAUCGGUUGCAGCCGUUUUGGGUUUGAGUCCAUUUUGGGCCUCGGUGAAAGUUUCCGUAGCUCUAACAAGAUUAAUAUGAUGGCGAGGCGUGACUCUGAAAUUAUUACGUCCUUUGUUAAAACACUCUUUGCACUGCCUGCGCGAAAAAAGUCUCAAUAUCACAUACAGUUCACGAAACUUGAAAAGCUAAGAAAUAGCCACAUGAAGAUUUUAAAACUUAUGGAUGAAGAAACACGACGUGUAAGAACUCCCGAAUUCAUAAAAGACGUAAAGUACCAUCUUCUGGGCAAUCUGGGACCAAUUGUCUACAUCACAUUUGUUGCAGCCUUCAAUAUUCAUUUUGAGCUGAGAUACAACUUAGUAUUAUUACACAACUGCCAACGGUAUGAACUGGUUAUAGAUUUAAGGACUCGACAGGCACUCGGCCCAAAGCUGGACCCAUUGAAAUUGUCCCCACUUGAGAAGGUGGUGUGCAUCCUGUACUACGAGGAGAGGACCAGUAGGUUAAUGCUGAGUGAUGACAUUGUCAUAGAGGCUGAACGUUUACUGAAGGACACCCACCUCAUAUUAGACUUCCAAGGGAGCGGGGUCGUUAUGAAGUUCAAAGUUGAACUUGUACCCGAUAGUGAAAGGGAAAUAAUUUCCGUGUUGGAGAAAGACUGCAACCUUCAAUAAUUGCAACUCAAGUACUCUAGGACACCUGUCUGCACACUAUACCACCAAAGCUUUGUUCUUAACCGUCAUAAUCAAUUGCGUAGUUUAGGAGGUGUGGUCCUUAGAGCACUGCCCUGUAACCGUCAGUACAUGACACAGUCGAUUCUCACGAUGGCUACGUACGUCAUACGAUGCCUUGGGCAUUCCAGCACUAACGUAGACAGCGGGCGGCAUCUUAAGCUUGAUAUCGAGCUUCGUAUCGAGCACUCGCGCUUACGGACGACAGCCUCUCCGACAAAUUAGGUACGAUUAUAACCGUACAUUUGACAUAAAAGUUCUCCAAGUUUUCCCACGUCAGAGCCGAAAUUCGUGACAAUGGAUAAGUCUACAGACUGAGUGAUUGAAAGAAAUUACGAAAAGUGUCGGCGAAGAUAUAAUAUUGCCGGAAUCGGGGUACGACACUGCAUUUUUGACAAGUAAAUUCCGCUUUUCAUUUGUAUGCCGACAUUCAUUCUUCCAGAGACGAGGAAAUCCCGUUUUUCCUAGUUUGAGGUAGAAACCGUGUCGGUGAACAUGCCUCUUCUGUUGUUCAAUACUUAGUUAAUGUCCGGAUCUUGCGAUGGCUAGUGACGAGUCAAGGUGCUGCGACCUUCGAGAUCAUCUGAGGCAUCGACGUGAAGAACUCUGUACCCGGCAUCUUCUGCGAGGAAUCAUUAUAAAUACGGACAAUAGUUGACUUCAGACUGAUUUCAAUUGGUACCCUUUCAGGCUGUUGUACCUGCCCGUACUUAACGGAACCAUGAUCUUUAGUUUCGUGUUUUUGUAGGACCACAGCCGGCGUUACUUGGCUUCGUAGAAACCGGAGAAUGUCAGUAAAACGGAGGAGGGUACGUGUUCUACAACUCGAAAUGAAGAAAUCAAUAAGCUGCGCUCAGGAACAACACAAAAUCAGUUUACGUGUCGUGUCAAGGAACAUACAAGUCAUGUCACAAUCCACCUCGAGCCGUGUCUGUUAGCAGUUAUC